rnacentral:rRNA from 1 species
UGGGGAAUUUUGGACAAUGGGCGAAAGCCUGAUCCAGCAAUGCCGCGUGUGUGAAGAAGGCCUUCGGGUUGUAAAGCACUUUUGUCCGGAAAGAAAUCCUUGGCUCUAAUACAGUCGGGGGAUGACGGUACCGGAAGAAUAAGCACCGGCUAACUACGUGCCAGCAGCCGCGGUAAUACGUAGGGUGCAAGCGUUAAUCGGAAUUACUGGGCGUAAAGCGUGCGCAGGCGGUUUGCUAAGACCGAUGUGAAAUCCCCGGGGCUCAACCUGGGAACUGCAUUGGUGACUGGCAGGCUAGAGUAUGGCAGAGGGGGGUUAGAAUUCCACGUGUAGCAGUGAAAUGCGUAGAGAUGUGGAGGAAUACCGAUGGCGAAGGCAGCCCCCUGGGCCAAUACUGACGCUCAUGCACGAAAGCGUGGGGAGCAAACAGGAUUNGAUACCCUGGUAGUCACGCCCUAAAUGAUGUAACUAGUUGUUGGGGAUUCAUUUCCUUAGUAACGUAGCUAACGCGUGAAGUUGACCGCCU